CACGUAGGGUGCGAGCGUUGUCCGGAAUUAUUGGGCGUAAAGAGCUCGUAGGCGGUGUGUCGCGUCGGCCGUGAAAACCUGCAGCUUAACUGUGGGCGUGCGGUCGAUACGGGCAUCACUGGAGUUCGGCAGGGGAGACUGGAAUUCCUGGUGUAGCGGUGAAAUGCGCAGAUAUCAGGAGGAACACCGGUGGCGAAGGCGGGUCUCUGGGCCGAUACUGACGCUGAGGGGCGAAAGCGUGGGGAGCGAACAGG
rnacentral:rRNA from 1 species